GGGGUAGUCAAGGUUUCGACAGGGAUAAUGCAGCUGGAGAAGCUAUCCGGAUGUGAUACGUUACAUCACAAACCUAAAUAUAAACGCUGAUAAUAAAUUAGCAGUAGCUGCCUAAGAUGCAGCUUGUCCUGUAUUCUCGGACCUGCACGUUUAUAUAGGGCAUCAUGAACCGCAGGAAACGACUUGUACAAAGCUUUGAGUACAAGGGCGUAUCAUGAAGCUACCUGACUUAAAAGGGGUGUUGCUUCUCCUUUAAGUCGGGGAAUUACUAAUAAGCAACUAUGAUAGUAGAAGGACAGGGAAUUUAUUUUUGGACACGGGUUCGACUCCCGUCUACUCCACU
rnacentral:tmRNA from 1 species